rnacentral:lncRNA from 1 species
CUUAGGUAGGUUUAAAUACUAAAACACCCAACGGCUAUAUGUUGGUGUUUGGUAUUAAUCAUGAUAAGGGAAUUAAUGAUGGAUAUGGAAUUAAUGAUGUAUGGGAAUUCCUAGAAAAGGAAUGUGAGAAGUCAUGGAAAUAUACAUAUAUAUGCAGUAGGGAUAUAUAUGUAAUAUACGUAUAACUUGGGGUUUUGAUAUGUUAUAAUAUAUAUAUAUAUAACUUAGGGGUUUAAAAAUAGUAUUUACAUUAAGGGUGUGUUUAUGAUUUUAAAUCUUUAUGGGGUUGUAUUUCUAAUAG